AGCGAACGCUGGCGGCAGGCCUAACACAUGCAAGUCGAGCGCCCAGCAAUGGUAGCGGCAGACGGGAUAGUAACACGUGGGAACGUACCUUUCAGUUCGGAACAACCCAGGGAAACUUGGGCUAAUACCGAAUACGCCCGUAAGGGGAAAGAUUUAUCGCUGAAAGAUCGGCCCGCGUCUGAUUAGCUAGUUGGUGGGGUAAUGGCCCACCAAGGCGACGAUCAGUAGCUGGUCNGAGAGGAUGAUCAGCAUCACUGGGACUGAGACACGGCCCAGACUCCUACGGGAGGCAGCAGUGGGGAAUAUUGGACAAUGGGCGCAAGCCUGAUCCAGCAAUGCCGCGUGAGUGAGGAAGGCCUUAGGGUUGUAAAGCUCUUUCACCCGCGACGAUGAUGACGGUAGCGGGAGAAGAAGCCCCGGCUAACUCCGUGCCAGCCGCCGCCGUAA
rnacentral:rRNA from 1 species